UGGUUUAGGGGAAGUGAGUUUCUGAACCCUAAAUCUCAUUGUCUUGUCACAUUGGUACAAAAGGAAAUGAAGAUACGUUUUUCUAAAUUAACACAAGAAAAGAAUUGGACUCCCAGUGUCCAUGUCUCAUUACACUGUGCUCUUAAAACAAUAAUUCAGCAGAGAGUUAAGCCAGUUUCCAGUGGAAAACAGGUCCAUCAUUAACUUCAACUACUCCAUCCUACCCUUUUUCAAAUAUUUUCCUAUGUUUUUCAGAAUAUCCAGGACAACAAUACAGCAAUGGCAUGUGUCAGUGACAUAGUCUUUAGCAUCUUCAACACCCAUACUGAAAAUAAGUGACAGCUUGCUUUGUAUCUGAGAUGACUUCAUCUUGAGAUGGAGCUGUGAAUGAUGUUUAAAGGAUUUUCAGAUGAGCAGUUGUCUGUUCCAGAUCAGCAGUUAAUAUGCACAUUAAAAAAAUUGUAAGACGUGAACCCUGUGGUGAGAAUCCAUAUGAUCCAGGUAAGAUUCUUUCCUCUUUUUUUUCUUAAGAUUGUUGUCAAAGCCAUUUCUCCUGUUCUGACAAUAGAAUCAGAGAAUUGUUUAGGAUGGAGAAGACUUUCAAGAUCAUUGAGCCAAAUUGUUAAUACAUGUUCACCACUAAAUCAGGUUCUGAAAUGCCACAUGUACGUAUCUUUUAAAUACUUCCCAGGAUGGUGAUUCUACCACUUCCCUGGGUAGCCUGUUCCAAUGCUUGACAACUAUUUUGGUGACAAAAUUUUUAUUAACUCCAAUAUAAACCUCCACUGGUGCAACUUGAGUCCAUUUCCUCUUGUCUAUUACUUAGUACUUGGUAGAAGAGACAGACAGACAGACUCCCCCCUUGUUAGAUCCUCCUGUCAGGUGGUUGUAGAGAGCAGCAAGGCUUCUUCUGAGGCUCGUUUAUUCCCAGACUGUUUCACCCAGUUCCUUCAGCAUCUCCUCAUAAGACUUGUGCUCCAAAUCCAUCACCAUUUUCCUUCUGGGGACACACUCUAGAACCUCAGUGUCCUUCCAGCAGUGAGGGGCCCAAAACUGAACACGGUAUUUGAGUUCUGCGUCACCAGUGACAAGUACAGGGGGAGAAUACUGAUGAGAUAGACUGAAGAUGUAAGAUUUUAAAUAACCACAGUGAAAACUCUUUGAUAACAAAGCAAUGAAAAAACAUUAUUUAUGUCCUAGGAGAAAGUCAUCAAAAAAUAACAUUCAAGAUGCUGUAGCAUUUACUUGUAGAAAAUGAGGAAAUGCUUAAAUUGCCAAUCAGAAAUACAAAAAGAGGAGAAAUGAGACACAACAUUCUUGUUCCUGUUUUAAUGACCUUUUUGUGGUUUAUAUUUUAUUGCAUAUUUUAUAUUCUAUUUUUAAGUUCAAUUUAUUAGGAAUCAGCAUAUGGUUGAUUUCAACUAUGAAAUAUACUCUGAGUCACUACAUAUUGAAGAUUAUUUUCCUGUUUUUAAUUGUGACCUUUUACCAUUUAGGGACAAACUGUUGGUGCUGGGGUUGUUUGGGGAUUGUAGGGAGUUGGGGUGGUAGGGCUUGCUGUCUGGAUGGCAUGUCCUACUCUUUCUUCCGUUAUCUUUUGCUCUUUGCAUUGUGUUGUCAGUGGUAUGCUAUUGUAGCACUACAGGAAGAAGAAAGCUCUUCAAGUGUACCCAUGGUAACAAAAAGGGAUGUAUUUUCUGUCUGGUUUGAAUCAGCAUUUUCUGUAUGAAAUCUUGUUUCUCUGCUGUAUCCUGCAAAGCUUUUUAAAGAGAUGAUGAAAAACUAAGAGCAGAACCUCGUCCCCAUAUGAUAGCCUUAUUCCAGCCCCUUCUCAAGUCUUUGUUUAGUUCAUAUUGUAAAGCUACAAGUGAAGAACAAGAUUUGUCAUUCUGACCUAGGAGACACACAUGACUUUUUAGAAGAUCUAAAGAGAUAAACACUGUGUUGUUAACUGAGACUGUGAUCUUGACCCUAAAAUCCAGUGGAGGAGUCAGAAGAUUUCAAAAAUAAUGAUGGUGCUUCUUUUUUAAUGAUGGAUCACACCAUUGAAAAGGAGUGGGAAGGAAUGGAUGAAUAAAUACUCUUUCAUAUUUACUUAACCUAGAGUUUUUCCUGACCAGAUUUUGAUCCAUAUCUUCUGACAAAGAUAUAUCAACUUCCUCUGUUUACAGCAAUGUUGAUCUCAUCCUGGGUGAUGUAUAGCAGCUUCACUUCUUGCUUCUCCAUGACUGAAAUGUAAAACUUUACAAUGAAAAUCUGUGCCUUGUAAUAACUCCAUGGAAUGCUUUACCAAACUCUCAGCAGGAAAUGCAGAUGUUAACACUGUAGUUAUCAAAGUAGUGCAAUGCAUUGACUACAGGAUGCUUUUUAAAUGUGACCAGAUUUGUUUUCACAUUUUCUGAGUGGGGUUUUCUGAAUACUGUAGGAUAAUCUCCAGGUCUAAAAUGCUUAGGGAAAAAAAAAAAAAAGGGAACUGGGACAGUUUCUCUCUUCAAACUAAUUUCAAUGCAUUAAACACACUUUCACUAUGAAAGGGACUAUUAUACAGCCCAAAGUUCAAACAAUUGGAUUCUUUCAUUCAAAUGAUGCUCUGUAUCAUGCUGAAAUCAUUACAGAGCUUGGUCACUGCAAGUCACAUCCUUAAUAGGUGGCAAGGAUAACCACAUGAAAUGGGGAUAUUUUGUUUGGACUUAUUUAUCUCUUUCCAGACUUCCUAACUUCUUAAAAAUUUUUUUAAACACUAGAUUUAAUGUACUUAGAAUAAUUGCUGUCUCCAAAACAUUAAAGAAUGUCUGUUACAGAUAAAAGAGAACAUAUUAACUAUCCUCAUAUUUUCCCCACUUUUUCUACUAUGAUUCUUUUCUAGCUUCUUAAUUGAAAGAAAUCCCUUAUUUUGAAUUCUGCUGCAAUUUUUAAGAAAAGGAUCUGAAAUAUAUAUAAUUUCAUUUCAUGUGAUACACAACUCUACCAUCUUAAUUUCAAAACUUACCAUUUCUAUUUUAAUAUGAAAGCAAGUCAUGUAUUAGCAUGAUUUUUUACCAUGUCUUGAAGAAUCCCUUUUUCUUAAUCCUGGAUCUGAAUUAGCUUUGAUAUCUGAACUUCUUUAAUAAUUAAACAAUAUAAUCAAAUAUUUUUUGCAAUUAGUUGCUGCAGCUAGGGAUAUGGCAGCCUGGAAACUGUGGUGUGCUUUUUUAGAAAAAUGUAUUUUUGCUAGUCUGCCUGGCAGGGAGUGAAGGUCUGGGGCUCUGGUCUGUUUUGUGAUGCAGUAAGAGCUUUUCCAAGGUUCACCAACAGCAGCUUGGGAGCCUGGAGAUCUGCUGCAGAGCCAGGAGUGAGAAAAUCCUUGGUGGCCAGAGGGUGAGCACUGCAGUGAGAUGUAAUUGAGCAGAGGUAAGCCUAGUAGAUGACAAAGGCUUAAUUAAGACCAGUGUCUCUAAACUGGAGACAGGGAAAUUAAUGUUGGGAUUAUAGUGUCAUAAGAUCAUAGGAUAAUUCAGAGUGGAAGGAUGCUCAGAAGUUCCCAGCCUCCUACUGAAAACAGCAUCACCUCUGAUCUCAGACCAGGUUGUUCAGGGCAUUUUCCAGUCUGGUCUUAAAAACCUGAAUGGAUGGAAAGCACAGCUUCCCUAGAGAACUUGCUCCAAUUCUGAUCUGGUAGGGAAAAAUUAUUCCCUGUAUCCAUAAAGAACUUUUAAUGACAAAGACACAUUUAUAUUGUUGUGCACUAUUGGGACAGAUCUGCCAUGGGAAGUGGGGAAUUCCACAUUUAUUGUUACCUUCAUGACUGGAUAAUUUCUGGGAAACUUGUCUUUUGUCAAAGGUAAGAUGACAUUUUCUGUAUAUAUUGCUGGUCCUUGUGGCUUUAAUUUAACAAAUACAUGAACACAUAGCCUAUCACCUAUCUGGAAGAGCUGAAUUAGGUAAUUCUGACAUUAAAGGAAUUUAUGAUUUUUUUAAAAUAACAAUUUCAAAUACCUUUUAAUUUAAAUUGCUAAAAUUAUAGUAAAGGAAUUUACAGGAAGUCAAAACUUAGUAAAAGGAACAGUGGCCCUGUCUAAUCUUUCCAUGGGUUUGGAACUUCAAUACUUCUGAGACAUUCCUAUGACAUUUAAUUAUCAAGUGACUUGGAAAAGAACAAGAGUAUUCUGAGAAACAUGUGAAUAACCUAGAUUGUACUUGUGCAAAGCCAUUAAAAAAACCUGUCAAUUUGUAAAAAUAAAGCAAAAAAAGCAGCAAGUUGCUGUCUUUCAUGUGAUAGCAGGACACAGCAUAUAUGGUUUUCUGUCUGAACCACCAGCACCCUUCCUCCUCUAAUGAUUCAAAAACUUUAUUUGCUGAAUAAUAAAAUUUACUGAUAUAUUGAUUAUCAGGCUAAUGGUACAUGCUGAGCAUAGGGACACAAAGGUAGUCUUGAGGGUCUUCUGAUAUUUUCCUUUGCUGUUGCUGUCACAAUAAAAUGUAGCAGGUGGCUGCAUGGUCAGAGAAAGAAAUCAUUUUUAUAUUGAUGAACUUAGGCCUUUGAGCUGCUACUUACCCUCAGGCUUCUGAGAGGUUACAUCUUAAAUGAGAAAAUGCAGCAAGAACAUAUUCAAUGCAGAUGCUACAAGUCAAUUCUGUACCAACACUCAAACCAGGAAUGCAAUGACACAUGAUAGUCUGAACUCAGUUUCACACUAUUCGUGUUGUGGUGGGCAAUUAAAGCAUGCAAAUUUUGGGUUAUCCAAACUAGAAACAGUUAACCUCUGUUCACCUUGUUCAACUUUAUACUCUAGAAUUUAUUCAGCAGAUAUAUGCCAACACUGUUUACAUAUAUAAAGCUGUUUAUCUAAUUUAGCUGGCAUAUACAUUCAAGACAUAGGGUACAAUCUUGGUAAGAUUCCCCAAAGGUGAAUCUAACCCUAACCCUAACCCUAACCAUAGCCCUAAACCUAACCAAGAUGGCGGUGCCCUGUGAUGGGUGCUUGGGUAAACAACAUGGUGGCACCCAUGUGGUUAGGUGAUAGGGGUCCGAUAUGGCAGCGGCUAUGAACUUCCGGUGCAAUAUGGCGGUGCCUGUGUAGUGUUGCCGAUGGUUUUUGGAGGUUUGCUACGCCACGUGUUGUGGUGUCAGAGUGUGGUGGGGCAGCAGAGCGCAGCGCGGCUGCUGAGGUGUGCUGAGGGGUGUAUGAAUGCGGUGGGGUGAUUCAGGAAGGAAAUGGUGGCGCCAGUGUUGUUAGGCGGUUAAAAUGGUGGCAUCAAGAUCAGUGACGUAUUUGCAGAAAAAUAUGGCGGUGCACACAAACUUCCGGAACAAUAUGGCUGCACCCAUGAACUUUCGGAACAAUAUGGUGGCGCCAUGAACUCCUGGAACAAAUGGCGGCACCCUUGAACUUCUGGAAAAAUAUGGUGCUGCCCAGGAACUACUGGAAAAUAUGACAUCACCCAUGAACUUCUGGAACAAUAUGGUGGCCCCUGUGGACUUCCAGAACAAUAUGGCGGCUCCCAUGACUGUGACAUGUUUCCAGAGAAAUGAUGGCAGUGCCAAUUAUGCUGGUUUUGGGCCGCUGUGCUGUGGAUCAGUGUGUCAUGGUGGCGAAUCGGUGGCAGUCUGGCUCGUGGGGAACCAGCAGCACGCAGCACUGGUUUCUGGCAUGUGGGGCCGCUUUAUUUGGUGUGGUGCGGGGGGGCGAUGUGUGGGUAAUUUGGUGCUUAUGAUAGUAAACGAUUACUUUAUUUUGUUAAUGAGUAAUUGCAGAUAAAAUGUAGUGAUGUCAUCUUUGCAAACAUGGCAAUGUUGUAUACGUUGUUGGUGACGUGUUGCA